UACAGAGGUCUCAAGCGUUGUUCGGAUUCAUUGGGCGUAAAGGGUGCGUAGGCGGCGCGGUAAGCCGGGUGUGAAAUCUUGGAGCUUAACUCCGAAACUGCAUUCGAUACUGCCGUGCUUGAGGACUGGAGAGGAGACUGGAAUUUACGGUGUAGCGGUGAAAUGCGUAGAUAUCGUAAGGAAGACCAGUGGCGAAGGCGGGUCUCUGGACAGUUCCUGACGCUGAGGCACGAAGGCCAGGGGAGCAAAACGGG
rnacentral:rRNA from 1 species